rnacentral:rRNA from 1 species
AGAGUUUGAUCAUGGCUCAGGAUGAACACUAGCUACAGGCUUAACACAUGCAAGUCGAGGGGAAACGACAUCGAAAGCUUGCUUUUGAUGGGCGUCGACCGGCGCACGGGUGAGUAACGCGUAUCCAACCUGCCCACCACUUGGGGAUAACCUUGCGAAAGUAAGACUAAUACCCAAUGAUAUCUCUAGAAGACAUCUGAAAGAGAUUAAAGAUUUAUCGGUGAUGGAUGGGGAUGCGUCUGAUUAGCUUGUCGGCGGGGUAACGGCCACCAAGGCGACGAUCAGUAGGGGUUCUGAGAGGAAGGUCCCCCANAGUUGGAACUGAGACACGGUCCAAACUCCUACGGGAGCA